GACGAACCGAGCGAACGUUGUUCGGAAUCACUGGGCUUAAAGGGCGCGUAGGCGGGUGCUCAAGUCCGUGGUGAAAUCCUCCGGCUCAACCGGAGAACUGCCUCGGAUACUGGGCGUCUCGAGUGUGGUAGGGGUAUGCGGAACUAUCGGUGGAGCGGUGAAAUGCGUAGAUAUCAAGUGGAACACCAGUGGCGAAGGCGAGUCUCUGGACAUUUCCUGACGCUGAGGCACGAAAGCCAGGGGAGCAAACGGG
rnacentral:rRNA from 1 species